CAUGUAGGCGGCUUAAUAAGUCGAGCGUGAAAAUGCGGGGCUCAACCCCGUAUGGCGCUGGAAACUGUUAGGCUUGAGUGCAGGAGAGGAAAGGGGAAUUCCCAGUGUAGCGGUGAAAUGCGUAGAUAUUGGGAGGAACACCAGUGGCGAAGGCGCCUUCUGGACUGUGUCUGACGCUGAGAUGCGAAAGCCAGGGUAGCGAACG
rnacentral:rRNA from 1 species